GAACAGUAACGACAUUCACAAUACGCGCGACGUGAGACGAAACAUAACACUUAUAGUUCUUACAAUCGUACGAUUGUAAGAACUAUAAGUGUUAUGAUUCGUCUCACGUCGCGCGUAUUGUGAAUGAAAUAAUUUAUUGGUUUAAUGCAUGCAUUCAUUGCAUAUACUUUCAUUC
rfam:Aedes albopictus isolate Foshan contig23247, whole genome shotgun sequence.